rnacentral:rRNA from 1 species
CAAUAGCGUAUAUUAAAGUUGUUGCAGUUAAAAAGCUCGUAGUUGGAUUUGUGGUGUACUUCGGCGGCCCGUCACACUGUGAUGGAGCUUGCAGAAGUCGCCAUCCUUGGGUGGAUCCUGUGUGGCAUUAAGUUGUCGUGCAGGGGAUGCCCAUCGUUUACUGUGAAAAAAUUAGAGUGUUCAAAGCAGGCUUAUGCCGUUGAAUAUAUUAGCAUGGAAUAAUAAGAUAGGACCUUGGUACUAUUUUGUUGGUUUGCGCACCAAGGUAAUGAUUAAUAGGGACAGUUGGGGGUAUUCGUAUUUCAUUGUCAGAGGUGAAAUUCUUGGAUUUUUGAAAGACGAACUACUGCGAAANCANNNACCAAGGAUGUUUUCAUNAA